rnacentral:precursor_RNA from 1 species
CCGAAUGAGCCCGGGAGUUCCCCCAAACACUUCAGUAGAAAACUAUUUGAUAAAAAAUUGUAUCUCCAAUGAAGUGCUCAGAGGAACUCUAGAAAACAUCCGACCAACACGACGAUUGUUUGAAUAUAUAGAUAUUACAUUAUCAAUAUAUUGUAGAUACAUUUUGGCGAAUCGGUUUAUAAGAGUGUUAGGGUUUGAAAAAGAAUGGAGGGACUGGCGUUUUAUAUAUACAAUUGGAAGCAUUGUGAACUUAGACGUGAAUUCAGGUUAAGGGCUUUAGGUGAGGGAAUCAAAUUUUUUAAGAAAAGUGCAUAAAUUCUUUUUCCUUUCAGCUUUUUGCAAGAUAAGAAAGACGUUUCUAUAAACGCAUAGAUGCCAAUGAAUGUACACUCAUAUACAUGUAAAUGAACAUAUGAUUUUG